rnacentral:tRNA from 1 species
UCUGGCGUCGUCUAAAGGCAGGACGCGGGGUUUUGGCUCCCGCUAUCCAGGUUCGAAUCCUGGCGCCAGAA